CCAGAAUCUAAAGGUCAAAAAGCUUUCAUGCUUGCAUGAAAAAGCUUUUGAACUUGAGAUUCGCCCAAACAUGAGAAAUUGCGAUUUACUAUGUAAAUCAGCAAAUUUCGAAUGUUUGUAGGAUUGUGGGAGCAACUUGUUGCGAAACAAUCCGUGGUA
rnacentral:sRNA from 1 species